CCCUUGUCCUUAGUUACCAGCACGUUAUGGUGGGCACUCUAAGGAGACUGCCGGUGACAAACCGGAGGAAGGUGGGGAUGACGUCAAGUCAUCAUGGCCCUUACGGCCUGGGCUACACACGUGCUACAAUGGUCGGUACAGAGGGUUGCCAAGCCGCGAGGUGGAGCUAAUCCCACAAAACCGAUCGUAGUCCGGAUCGCAGUCUGCAACUCGACUGCGUGAAGUCGGAAUCGCUAGUAAUCGCGAAUCAGAAUGUCGCGGUGAAUACGUUCCCGGGCCUUGUACACACCGCCCGUCACACCAUGGGAGUGGGUUGCACCAGAAGUAGCUAGUCUAACCUUCGGGAGGACGGUUACCACGGUGUGAUUCAUGACUGGGGUGAAGUCG
rnacentral:rRNA from 1 species